rnacentral:rRNA from 1 species
CCUACGGGUGGCAGCAGUGAGGAAUAUUGGUCAAUGGGCGGAAGCCUGAACCAGCCAAGUAGCGUGAAGGAAGAAGGCUUUCGGGUUGUAAACUUCUUUUAAGAGGGAAGAGCAGAAGACGGUACCUCUUGAAUAAGCCACGGCUAACUACGUGCCAGCAGCCGCGGUAAUACGUAGGUGGCAAGCGUUGUCCGGAUUUACUGGGUGUAAAGGGCGUGCAGCCGGGAAGACAAGUCAGAUGUGAAAUCCCGCGGCUCAACCGCGGAACUGCAUUUGAAACUGUUUUUCUUGAGUACCGGAGAGGUCAUCGGAAUUCCUUGUGUAGCGGUGAAAUGCGUAGAUAUUAGGAGGAACACCAGUGGCGAAGGCGGCUUACUGGACUGUAACUGACGUUGAGGCUCGAAAGCGUGGGGAGCAAACAGGAUCAGAUACCCGGGUAGUC